rnacentral:lncRNA from 1 species
CCCACUUUAAUAAGACCAGGGCAGGUGGGCAGGUGGGCAGGUGUGUGUCCCUCAUCGAGCCAGCUGCACACCAGAGCGAGAGCACGAGAGAGAGCGAGGAGAGGAAAGAAAGAAGGGGAGAGGGGGAUACAUGUAGAACGGGAUGAGUGGCAGGAGUUUAAGAGAGUAAAAGAGGUUCAGAGGAGACUUUCAAGGAUCUGUGGAGAGAGGGAACCAAGAAGGACAAGUACAGAUUAAGAAAAAAAAAGGAACAGAGAGAGGAGUGCAGUGAGGAGAGAAAAAGACAGCUUUUGCAGAGUGAGAGACUCCAAAUCUUUUUUCUCCCCAGGGUAUUUUCCUGAGCCUCACUCAUCAGUCUGGGCAGGAAUCGCUCGUCACUCUUUUCCUAGCUCCCUCCUCUCCCCCCGUUAUUCCCUCCUUUCUUCCCUCUCUCCCAGCCGUGGAGCGUCACGAGAGCCACGCGAUGAGAAUAGAAUGAGAAGGGGGAGAGAGAGAGAGAGAGAGUGAGAGUGAGCAAGAGAGGGAGAGAGGAACGAACCAGGGAAGCGAGAGACUUACACACACCACAAGCAUUGGAAAUUGAAGGAGUUGGUGUGCAGCUCGCAAGAAGGCAGAGUCUGUGUGGACGGGCCCAGGGGCUGCACAGCUCCAGUGCUCUCUCUGCUUCUAACGUGUGCUGAGCCCUGCUCUGCUCUGCUGUGCGCUCCACUACGCUCUACGCUGCUAGCCUGUGUGACUGGCUGUCUGCGCUCAGCUGAGAAAGAGAGAGAGAAAGGGAGAGCAACUACUACUGCUACAGAUGUGAGGCUUUCCCCAGUGCUGGCUAUACUAUACCGCUCCUGAGGCCGAUCCUCGGGGCUGUUUGGAGCUCAUCUCUGUAAAUAAGACAGAGGGAGAGAGAGAGACAGAGUGAAGAGGGAAAGGAGACAGUCUGCAUGCGUUCCUCAUCUGCAGCCCAGUGACAGCAGCUUUGAUGUGAGUCCUACUGCAUCUGUCCCCUCUCCCCGCCGGGCACCACCGGCCCCAGCCCCACCACUUCACCCCACUCACUUUCAUCCACAUUCCCAUGGAAAUCCGUCCAUAUGCACUACUUCAACUCCCCCUCUUCUAAUCCCACUAUCCCCUUCAAGUGCACACUGACACCCUGCGGUGAAGCCUUCACCCCUAUCAUCACAGACUCCUAUAUGCUUCCCAAGUAGCACCCUAUUCCCUAUAUAGUGCACUAGUUUUGACCAGAGCCCUACG